rnacentral:misc_RNA from 1 species
GAGCGUGAGCACUGUCGCGAAAUCCACCUCAUCGCCCCCGGUGCACGAGGCUCCGGGGACGACCCCCUGCGCUGCAGGCUGCCACGCACAGCCUUCCCUCCUUUCCAACCGACUCUCGCAUCUUUGAAUUUCACGUGUCGUUGGCACCACUCUCUCGCCCGCUUAUUUGUCCGGUCUCUUCUCGCCCUAGCAGCGGUUGCGCUUCUCCAGUGCGCGUGCAUGCGGCGGCAUUUGUUUCGGGACGUCUUUGAAUGCGCGCUUUCUGAUCCCUGUGAACCGUCGCCCUUGUCACUCCUCCGUUUCCAUCGGCACACAUGAUCACGCACGCACGAGUUGAGCAUCCGCGAAUACCGGCGACGCCGCAUGAGGAACAGAGCUGCUCACAGCGAGGGCGACGGCGUAUCUGGUUUAGCUGCUUGCAUGAAGUUCUGUUUCUCUCUCUCACCAGAGGUUGCUCUCCACCCUUUCGCUCCCCCCCUUACGCUCUCCGCUCGGGCACCGUGGCGGGCGCGGCCUUCGUGUCUGCAAGACUGCCGAACAUGUGUGGGAUGCCAACCAUACCACCUCACCGUGCCGUCCAAUCUUUCAGAGCAUUCACCUACCCCCCUCCCCCCCCACCCACUCUACCUCACGCCCGUCCCCGCCUCCUCUUCCCGCCACUGACUUCGCUCCUCUCCGUCUCACUUUCUGGUCUUCUAUCCCACCCCCGACGCUGAGCCAUGAUUGCUUGCACGUCGUUUUUCUCCACGUCUCAUUAACAUGGCAG